rnacentral:rRNA from 1 species
GACGAACGCUGGCGGCGUGCUUAACACAUGCAAGUCGAGCGGUAAGGCCCUUCGGGGUACACGAGCGGCGAACGGGUGAGUAACACGUGGGUGACCUGCCUCUAGCUCUGGGAUAAGCCUGGGAAACUGGGUCUAAUACCGGAUAUGACUCCACGGCGCAUGUUGUGGGGUGGAAAGCCUUGUGUGGCUAGAGAUGGGCCCGCGGCCUAUCAGCUUGUUGGUGGGGUGAUGGCCUACCAAGGCGACGACGGGUAGCCGGCCUGAGAGGGCGACCGGCCACACUGGGACUGAGACACGGCCCAGACUCCUACGGGAGGCAGCAGUGGGGAAUCUUGCGCAAUGGGCGAAAGCCUGACGCAGCGACGCCGCGUGAGGGAUGAC